UGUUGUUACAUGUUCAUCCUAUUGUGCUUGUGUUUUUGAGUGUUGAGGAUUGGAGGAGGAUGGAGCAGCAGCAGCAGCAGCAGGGCUCAUAUUCAAACUUUGUUCCGCCGCCGCCUGCAUAUUCCGCGCACUCCGCUCCGCGGUCGGUGGAGACGCUGGUGGUGGUACUGGCGGCGAUCACGAUCGCCGCCGUGCUCGCCGGGAUCUGCGCGCGCAUCUGCGGCGGGCGGCAUUCGGCGGGGAGCGCCGACCGCGACAUUGAGGGGUGGGUCGAGAAAAAGUGCAGGAGCUGUCUGGACAGCGGCCUUUCAUCACCGCCGCAGCCGCCACUGCCGCCUCCGCCAGAGGGGCAGCAGGGAUCAAAGCCUGCUGAGGCAAAGAAGUGAUGCAAGUGAGAAAAGAGCAGAGAGCGAGAGAGAGAGUAGCAGGUGUAGUAGACACUCAUUUAAGCUUUGUGAAUUCAAAAUGAUGUUACAGGGACAAUGACAGACAGGAAGGAUCUGUUCCCACAAGAAGG